rnacentral:tRNA from 1 species
GUACCUGUAGCUCAGCUGGAUUAGAGCGUCGGACUCCGACUCCGAAGGCCGCAGGUUCAACUCCUGUCAGGUACACCA